UAGAGAGUGCAAACGUUGUUCGGAAUUACUGGGCUUAAAGCGCACGUAGGCGGCGUCGUAAGUGUCGGGUGAAAUCCCACGGCUCACCCGUGGAACUGCCCGGCAUACUGCGAUGCUAGAGUGUGGUAGGGGAGAGCGGAACUCCUGGUGGAGCGGUGAAAUGCGUAGAUAUCAGGAGGAACACCGGUGGCGAAGGCGGCUCUCUGGUCCACAACUGACGCUGAGGUGCGAAAGCUAGGGGAGCAAACGGGAUUAGAUACCCCGGUAGUCCUAGCUGUAAACGAUGGGCACUAGCUUGGGGUCUCCCUGUGUGAUCCCAGGUGAAGUAAAAAUGAUAAGUGCCCCGCCUGGGGAGUAUGGUCGCAAGGCUG
rnacentral:rRNA from 1 species